CAUAUAUUACCUCAAGGGAACGAAGAAUGGCACCAACAGAAACUCGAGGUUCCAGUUUGGGCUAUAGGAUUGGUUGUAGUAUUUAUCAAGUACAAACAACCGUGUUCGAAGAAAAGAAGAGAAAAGAAGGACUGCAAUGUCUCUUCGGAGGAUGACCAUAGGAAUGAGAAAAAAGAAGAAAUCCCUUUAACUCGUAAAAGAAGAGGAAGGAAAGACAGCAAAGCCUCUACCGAGGAUGGCCGUAGGAAAGGGAACCAAAAAGAACCCCCUUCAACCGUCUUUAAACCUUCUCAAAG